rnacentral:misc_RNA from 1 species
GAUGAAGAACGCAGCGAAAUGCGAUACGUAAUGUGAAUUGCAGAAUUCAGUGAAUCAUCGAAUCUUUGAACGCAUAUUGCGCUCUUUGGUAUUCCGAAGAGCAUGCUUGUUUGAGUAUCAGUAAACACCUCAAAACUUUUGAUUUUUUUUUAAAAAAAAAAGGUUUUGGACUUGAGCAAUCCCAACACCAAUCUUUUUUAGAUCGGUGGCGGGUUGCUUGAAAUGCAGGUGCAGCUGGACAUUCUCCUCAGCUAAAAGCAUAUUUAUUUAGUCCCGUCAAACGGAUUAUUACUUUUGCUGCAGCUAAUAUAAAGGGAGUUUGACCGUAUUGGCUGACUGAUGCAGGAUUUCACAAGGGUCGGCAACGAUUCUUGUAAAACUCGAUCUCAAAUCAAGUAAGACUACCCGCUGAACUUAAGCAUAUCAAUAAGCGGAGGA